CCCGGCAGGCGCGCGACAAACGGAAUGCACGGCGGAGGAGGUCUCCCGCAUCGCGCAGCGGAGUAAUUGUCGCGCAACGGGGUAUGCUCGCGCAGCUGAGAUGACCCGCGCGGCGGGGUAUGCUCGCGCAACGGUGGAGUAUGCUUCGCGCUGCUGAGAAGACCCGCGGCGGUGGAGCGUACUCGCGCAACGGUGGAGUAUGCUUCGCGCAGCUGAGAAACCCGCGGCGGCGGAGUAUGCUUCGCGCAGCUGAGAAGACCCGCGGCGGCGGAGUAUGCUCGCGCAACGGCGGGAUAUGCCUCGCGCAGCUGAGGAGACCCGCGGCGGCGGCAGAGUGGGACCAGCAGGCGGGGUGCCCUCGCGCGACAGCGUAGUGGGACCGACAGUCUUGGUGUGCUCGCGUGGCUGCGGA
rnacentral:lncRNA from 1 species